rnacentral:tRNA from 1 species
GCGCCAGUAGCUCAGCUGGAUAGUAGCACCUGCCUUCUAAGCAGGGGGCCGGGGGUUCAAGUCCCUCCUGGCGUACCA